GACGAACGCUGGCGGCGUGCCUAAUACAUGCAAGUUGAGCGAUGAAGAUUGGUGCUUGCACCAAUUUGAAGAGCAGCGAACGGGUGAGUAACGCGUGGGGAAUCUGCCUUUGAGCGGGGGACAACAUUUGGAAACGAAUGCUAAUACCGCAUAACAACUUUAAACAUAAGUUUUAAGUUUGAAAGAUGCAAUUGCAUCACUCAAAGAUGAUCCCGCGUUGUAUUAGCUAGUUGGUGAGGUAAAGGCUCACCAAGGCGAUGAUACAUAGCCGACCUGAGAGGGUGAUCGGCCACAUUGGGACUGAGACACGGCCCAAACUCCUACGGGAGGCAGCAGUAGGGAAUCUUCGGCAAUGGACGAAAGUCUGACCGAGCAACGCCGAGUGAGGGAAGAAGGUUUUCGGAUCGUAAAACUCUGUUGGUAGAGAAGAACGUUGGUGAGAGUGGAAAGCUCAUCAAGUGACGGUAACUACCCAGAAAGGGACGGCUAACUACGUG
rnacentral:rRNA from 1 species